AGCUCCUCUUGCUGCCUUCUGUGCUCAAUCCUGGCUGUGUUGAAGUUCAUCUUUCUCAGGCUCUCUUGAAUUGCACCUUUGGUGACUGAUUUCUGAAAGAAAAAGUCCUGAAUAUCAGUAAAGGUUUAUUCCUAAUGUAAACCGAAGUCCUGUAUAAUCAGUAAGGCUUAGUUUUCCAACGUCAUUCCUGAGCUCUGAGAGCAACAGUUAUUAUUGUCUCAGCAUCAUUUUCUAGCUGUGAGCAUGAUGAGUCUGACACUAGCACAUUUCAGGAGCUCUACAGCAUGGUCUAUAACUAGCUGGGUGAAGGAAAAUCCAGGCACUUCAAGAAAUGGUAUUCACAAUUCAGUAGGCAGCACCGUUCCAGCUUAGUCACUACUGAUCCAAUACAUGGAUCUGCCCUAUGUUGUUGUGACAGCAACUUUUGGAUUAGAACAGAGGUUCUGACCACUUGUGGUUAUUAAAAAUCCCACAUCAGAUUUUACAAGAGUUUGGGGUAUUAACCUACGUGUGCUGAGAAAUUCCAGCAGGGAUAACUACAUUCUGCCUACCUAUUUCAAUGGAAAUUUCUCCCUGUAGUUUUGAACAGCUCUUAUAUUCGUGACUUCCUGGAGUGUAAUGUUGCUAUCCAGUAUUGAGCAGUUGUCAUGUUUCACGCAGCUCUGUUUGCAGGUAGCCAGACAAAAUAUGUAGUGGCUACCUUCCUAGAGAAGAAACUUCCUCUGCCUUAGCUCUGGUUUUGUGAAAUUUUGUUUAUGUGGACUGGAAUUACCAAAAAUUCAUUUAAUCUAAAA